UCAGAUUGAACGCUGGCGGCAGGCCUAACACAUGCAAGUCGAGCGGUAACAUUUCUAAGCUUGCUUAGAAGAUGACGAGCGGCGGACGGGUGAGUAAUGCUUGGGGAUCUGCCUGAUGGCGGGGGACAACCACUGGAAACGGUGGCUAAUACCGCAUAAUACCUAUGGGUCAAAGUGUGGGACCUUCGGGCCACACGCCAUCAGAUGAACCCAAGUGAGAUUAGCUGGUUGGUAGGGUAACGGCUUACCAAGGCGACGAUCUCUAGCUGGUCUGAGAGGAUGAUCAGCCACACUGGGACUGAGACACGGCCCAGACUCCUACGGGAGGCAGCAGUGGGGAAUAUUGGACAAUGGGGGCAACCCUGAUCCAGCCAUGCCGCGUGUGUGAAGAAGGCCUUCGGGUUGUAAAGCACUUUCAGUGGUGAGGAAGGUGGUGUCGUUAAUAGCGGCAUCAAUUGACGUUAGCCACAGAAGAAGCACCGGCUAACUCCGUGCCAGCAGCCGCGGUAAUACGGAGGGUGCGAGCGUUAAUCGGAAUUACUGGGCGUAAAGCGCACGUAGGCGGUAUGUUAAGCAAGAUGUGAAAGCCCAGAGCUCAACUCUGGAAUAGCAUUUUGAACUGGCAUGCUAGAGUUUUGGAGAGGGUGGUAGAAUUUCCAGUGUAGCGGUGAAAUG
rnacentral:rRNA from 1 species